GUGGGGAAUUUUGGACAAUGGGGGCAACCCUGAUCCAGCAAUGCCGCGUGCAGGAAGAAGGCCUUCGGGUUGUAAACUGCUUUUGUACGGAACGAAACGGUCUGGGUUAAUACCCUGGGCUAAUGACGGUACCGUAAGAAUAAGCACCGGCUAACUACGUGCCAGCAGCCGCGGUAAUACGUAGGGUGCGAGCGUUAAUCGGAAUUACUGGGCGUAAAGCGUGCGCAGGCGGUUUGGUAAGACAGGCGUGAAAUCCCCGGGCUCAACCGGGGAAUGGCGCUUGUGACUGCAAAGCUGGAGUGCGGCAGAGGGGGAUGGAAUUCCGCGUGUAGCAGUGAAAUGCGUAGAUAUGCGGAGGAACACCGAUGGCGAAGGCAAUCCCCUGGGCCUGCACUGACGCUCAUGCACGAAAGCGUGGGGAGCAAACAGGAUUAGAAACCCCUGUAGUCC
rnacentral:rRNA from 1 species